GAGUUUGAUCUUGGCUCAGAUUGAACGCUGGCGGCAUGCCUUACACAUGCAAGUCGAACGGUAACAGGUCUUCGGAUGCUGACGAGUGGCGAACGGGUGAGUAAUACAUCGGAACGUGCCCAGACGUGGGGGGAUAACGAGGCGAAAGCUUUGCUAAUACCGCAUACGAUCUAAGGAUGAAAGCAGGGGACCGCAAGGCCUUGCGCGUUUGGAGCGGCCGAUGGCAGAUUAGGUAGUUGGUGGGAUAAAAGCUUACCAAGCCGACGAUCUGUAGCUGGUCUGAGAGGACGACCAGCCACACUGGGGCUGAGACACGGCCCAGACUCCUACGGGAGGCAGCAGUGGGGAAUUUUGGACAAUGGGCGAAAGCCUGAUCCAGCAAUGCCGCGUGCAGGAUGAAGGCCUGCGGGUUGUAAACUGCUUUGUACGGACGAAAAGGCUCUGGCUAAUACCUGGGGCACAUGACGGUACCGUAAGAAUAAGCACCGGCUAACUACGUGCCAGCCGCCGCCGUAAAACCG
rnacentral:rRNA from 1 species